AACAGGAUUAGAUACCCUGGUAGUCCAUGCCGUAAACGUUGGGCACUAGGUGUGGGGGACAUUCCACGUUCUCCGCGCCGUAGCUAACGCAUUAAGUGCCCCGCCUGGGGAGUACGGUCGCAAGGCUAAAACUCAAAGGAAUUGACGGGGGCCCGCACAAGCGGCGGAGCAUGCGGAUUAAUUCGAUGCAACGCGAAGAACCUUACCAAGGCUUGACAUACACCAGACCGGCCUGGAAACAGGUCUUCCCCUUUGGGGUUGGUGUACAGGUGGUGCAUGGUUGUCGUCAGCUCGUGUCGUGAGAUGUUGGGUUAAGUCCCGCAACGAGCGCAACCCUCGUUCUAUGUUGCCAGCACGUGAUGGUGGGAACUCAUAGGAGACUGCCGGGGUCAACUCGGAGGAAGGUGGGGAUGACGUCAAAUCAUCAUGCCCUUUAUGUCUUGGGCUUCACGCAUGCUACAAUGGCUGGUACAAAGAGAAGCGAACCCGUGAGGGUCAGCGAAUCCCUUAAAGCCAGUCUCAGUUCGGAUCGUAGUCUGCAAUUCGACUACGUGAAGUCGGAGUCGCUAGUAAUCGCAGAUCAGCAACGCUGCGGUGAAUACGUUCCCGGGCCUUGUACACACCGCCCGUCAAGUCACGAAAGUCGGUAACACCCGAAGCCGGUGGCCUAACCAGUUUUCUGGAGGGGGCCGUCUAAGGUGGGACUGGUGAUUGGGGCUAAGUCGUAACAAGGUAACC
rnacentral:rRNA from 1 species